UACAGAGACUGCAAGCGUUAUUCGGAUUCACUGGGCGUAAAGGGUGCGCAGGCGGGUGGGUGUGUCAGGUGUGAAAUCCCGAGGCUUAACCUCGGAACUGCGUCUGAAACUACUCGACUAGAGUACUGGAGAGGGAAACGGAAUUCACGGUGUAGCAGUGAAAUGCGUAGAUAUCGUGAGGAACACCAGAGGCGAAGGCGGUUUCCUGGACAGUUACUGACGCUCAGGCACGAAAGCAUGGGGAGCAAAAGGG
rnacentral:rRNA from 1 species